CCCACACUUGCACAGUGAGGUUGCUAUGUU
rnacentral:piRNA from 1 species